UACGUAGGUGGCAAGCGUUGUCCGGAAUUAUUGGGCGUAAAGCGCGCGCAGGCGGCUUCUUAAGUCUGAUGUGAAAUCUUGCGGCUCAACCGCAAACGGUCAUUGGAAACUGGGAAGCUUGAGUGCAGAAGAGGAGAGUAGAAUUCCACGUGUAGCGGUGAAAUGCGUAGAUAUGUGGAGGAAUACCAGUGGCGAAGGCGGCUCUCUGGUCUGUAACUGACGCUGAGGCGCGAAAGCGUGGGGAGCAAAC
rnacentral:rRNA from 1 species